CCCGGUCCCAGCCCCGGUCCCAGCCCCAGAGCGGCGGGGCUGGAGCCGCGUCGUGUCAUGGGAAGAGGUGGUGGGUUGUGAACGGUGUACGCGGGUUAGUGGAGGAGACCUCGGAGGGCAGUGGGGCUUGGGGCAUGGCGGCGGAUCUCUGUGAGGAGAGAGCGACCUGGGGUGCUUCCAGUCAGGGAGGGGAGGGAUGAGGCCCUGCACGGUGUUGGAGCCAUGGACGGAGCUGGGAAGCGUCAAAACCGUGUCAGAAGUCCAGGAGGCUGAAGAUGGAAGGCUAUCUGCACUGCUCUGCGAGAGGCGGUCCAGCACCGCGGGCGGGUCAGCACUGCGGGCAGGGUUUAAAGUUGAAGUGGUCACUUUAUGUUUUGGGUUUACUUAGCAGCGGAGCUAGUCCAAGAGCAGUGAAGUAGAAGCUGAAAGGGCUUUGCGUGCUAGGAGGGUGCUGUGGCUGUACUUGCAUUGGAGAUUAAAUUGAACAGGGAUCAAGGCAAGGCCAGCCCUGGUGAUAGCGACUUGUCUGUGGGCAAUGGUCUGCAGGUGAAAUCUCUGCCCUGCUGGAGAAUGUGACAGUGAUUCACAUCAUUUCUAAUCAGUUGAAGUCCCUUGUCAUUCAAGUCGAAGUAUGCCACAGUACAGCAAUAGCAAAUGCUGCCUGAGGAUAUGUCCACUGUGCAUGGGAGAGCACCGAAAGAGAGCACACUCUGCCAUGGAAAUAAGAUCGUGCAGCAUGUUUCUUCCACCCAGCAGCUCACAGCAGCAUCCUCAAGACUGAUCUUGUCUCCAAUGACCGACGCCUGGAGGGGUGAGCCUGGCUGUGAUGUGCAGCUCCAAAAGGGGCUGGUUUUACAGGGGGGCUUAUUUCUGCUUGCUGGUGACACUGCAUCAGUGAGGUGGAAGGUAGGUCAUGCUUGGGCACAAGAGUAAAAGUCACAUUCGGACAAGUGUGGAUUGAAUAAAGGAAAUGGUAAGGUGAAAACCUA